rnacentral:rRNA from 1 species
CUCAGGAUGAACGCUAGCGGCAGGCUUAACACAUGCAAGUCGAGGGGUGAAGCAGCUUGCUUACUUGAGACCGGCGCACGGGGUGCGUAACGCGUAUGCAAUCUACCUUAUACAGGGGAAUAGCCCAGAGAAAUUUGGAUUAAUGCCCCAUAGUGUUAUUGAAUCGCAUGUUUUAAUAACUAAAGUUCCAACGGUAUAAGAUGAGCAUGCGUCCCAUUAGUUAGUUGGUAAGGUAACGGCUUACCAAGACGAUGAUGGGUAGGGGUCCUGAGAGGGAGAUCCCCCACACUGGUACUGAGACACGGACCAGACUCCUACGGGAGGCAGCAGUGAGGAAUAUUGGUCAAUGGGCGCAAGCCUGAACCAGCCAUGCCGCGUGCAGGAAGACGGUCCUAUGGAUUGUAAACUGCUUUUAUACAGGAAGAAACAACUCUACGAGUAGAGUCUUGACGGUACUGUAGGAAUAAGGAUCGGCUAACUCCGUG